rnacentral:rRNA from 1 species
GACGAACGCUGGCGGCGUGCUUAACACAUGCAAGUCGAACGGAAAGGCCCUGCUUUUGUGGGGUGCUCGAGUGGCGAACGGGUGAGUAACACGUGAGUAACCUGCCCUUGACUUUGGGAUAACUUCAGGAAACUGGGGCUAAUACCGGAUAGGAGCUCCUGCUGCAUGGUGGGGGUUGGAAAGUUUCGGCGGUUGGGGAUGGACUCGCGGCUUAUCAGCUUGUUGGUGGGGUAGUGGCUUACCAAGGCUUUGACGGGUAGCCGGCCUGAGAGGGUGACCGGCCACAUUGGGACUGAGAUACGGGCCAGACUCCUACGGGAGACAGCAGUGGGGAAUAUUGCACAAUGGGCGGAAGCCUGAUGCAGCAACGCCGCGUGCGGGAUGACGGCCUUCGGGUUGUAAACCGCUUUCGCCUGUGACGAAGCGUGAGUGACGGUAAUGGGUAAAGAAGCACCGGCUAACUACGUG